rnacentral:rRNA from 1 species
CCGGCGACCGGCGCACGGGUGAGUAACACGUAUGCAACCUGCCCUCCGCAGGGGGAUAACCCGGAGAAAUCCGGACUAAUACCGCGUGGUACACCAGUGGGGCAUCCCACUGGUGUUAAAAGGAAGUGAUUCCGGCGGAGGAUGGGCAUGCGGCGCAUUAGCUUGUUGGCGGGGUAACGGCCCACCAAGGCAACGAUGCGUAGGGGUUCUGAGAGGAAGGUCCCCCACACUGGUACUGAGGCACGGACCAGACUCCUACGGAAGGCAGCAG